AGUGAACGCUGGCGGUAGGCCUAACACAUGCAAGUCGAACGGCAGCACAGUAAGAGCUUGCUCUUACGGGUGGCGAGUGGCGGACGGGUGAGGAAUACAUCGGAAUCUACUUUUUCGUGGGGUAUAACGUAGGGAAACUUACGCUAAUACCGCAUACGACCUACGGGUGAAAGCAGGGGAUCUUCGGACCUUGCGCGAUUGAAUGAGCCGAUGUCGGAUUAGCUAGUUGGCGGGGUAAAGGCCCACCAAGGCGACGAUCCGUAGCUGGUCUGAGAGGAUGAUUCGCCCAACUGGAACUGAGACACCGUCCCGACUCCUACGGGAGGCAGCAGUGGGGAACAUUGGACAAUGGGCGCAAGCCUGAUCCAGCCAUACCGCGUGGGUGAAGAAGGCCUUCGGGUUGUAAAGCCCUUUUGUUGGGAAAGAAAAGCAGCAGGUUAAUACCCCGCUGUUCUGACGGUACCCAAAGAAUAAGCACCGGCUAACUUCGUG
rnacentral:rRNA from 1 species